GUCGGCGCUGUUACUUUGAAAAAAUUAGAGUGUUCAAAGCGGGCUUGCGCUUGAAUAUAUUAGCAUGGAAUAACACUAUAGGACUCCGAUCCUAUUUUGUUGGUCUUCGGGACUGGAGUAAUGAUUAAGAGGAACAGUUGGGGGCAUUCGUAUUUCAUUGUCAGAGGUGAAAUUCUUGGAUUUAUGAAAGACGAACUUCUGCGAAAGCAUUUGCCAAGGAUGUUUUCAUUAAUCAAGAACGAAAGUUGGGGGCUCGAAGACGAUCAGAUACCGUCCUAGUCUCAACCAUAAACGAUGCCGACUAGGGAUUGGCGGACGUU
rnacentral:rRNA from 1 species